AGAGUUUGAUCCUGGCUCAGGAUGAACGCUGGCGGCGUGCCUAAUACAUGCAAGUCGAACGCUUUGUGGUUCAACUGAUUUGAAGAGCUUGCUCAGAUAUGACGAUGGACAUUGCAAAGAGUGGCGAACGGGUGAGUAACACGUGGGAAACCUACCUCUUAGCAGGGGAUAACAUUUGGAAACAGAUGCUAAUACCGUAUAACAAUGACAACCGCAUGGUUGUUAUUUAAAAGAUGGUUCUGCUAUCACUAAGAGAUGGUCCCGCGGUGCAUUAGCUAGUUGGUAAGGUAAUGGCUUACCAAGGCGAUGAUGCAUAGCCGAGUUGAGAGACUGAUCGGCCACAAUGGGACUGAGACACGGCCCAUACUCCUACGGGAGGCAGCAGUAGGGAAUCUUCCACAAUGGGCGAAAGCCUGAUGGAGCAACGCCGCGUGUGUGAUGAAGGGUUUCGGCUCGUAAAACACUGUUGUAAGAGAAGAAUGACAUUGAGAGUAACUGUUCAAUGUGUGACGGUAUCUUACCAGAAAGGAACGGCUAAAUACGUGCCAGCAGCCGCGGUAAUACGUAUGUUCCAAGCGUUAUCCGGAUUUAUUGGGCGUAAAGCGAGCGCAGACGGUUAUUUAAGUCUGAAGUGAAAGCCCUCAGCUCAACUGAGGAAUUGCUUUGGAAACUGGAUGACUUGAGUGCAGUAGAGGAAAGUGGAACUCCAUGUGUAGCGGUGAAAUGCGUAGAUAUAUGGAAGAACACCAGUGGCGAAGGCGGCUUUCUGGACUGUAACUGACGUUGAGGCUCGAAAGUGUGGGUAGCAAACAGGAUUAGAUACCCUGGUAGUCCAUGCCGUAAACGAUGAAUGCUAGGUGUUUGGAGGGUUUUCCGCCCUUCAGUGCCGCAGCUAACGCAUUAAGCAUUCCGCCUGGGGAGUACGACCGCAAGGUUGAAACUCAAAGGAAUUGACGGGGGCCCGCACAAGCGGUGGAGCAUGUGGUUUAAUUCGAAGCAACGCGAAGAACCUUACCAGGUCUUGACAUCCUAUGCCAAUCUGAGAGAUCAGACGUUCCCUUCGGGGACAUAGUGACAGGUGGUGCAUGGUCGUCGUCAGCUCGUGUCGUGAGAUGUUGGGUUAAGUCCCGCAACGAGCGCAACCCUUGUUACUAGUUGCCAGCAUUCAGUUGGGCACUCUAGUGAGACUGCCGGUGACAAACCGGAGGAAGGUGGGGACGACGUCAGAUCAUCAUGCCCCUUAUGACCUGGGCUACACACGUGCUACAAUGGCCGGUACAACGAGCAGCUAACCCGCGAGGGUGUGCAAAUCUCUUAAAGCCGGUCUCAGUUCGGACUGCAGUCUGCAACUCGACUGCACGAAGUCGGAAUCGCUAGUAAUCGCGGAUCAGCAUGCCGCGGUGAAUACGUUCCCGGGCCUUGCACUCACCGCCCGUCA
rnacentral:rRNA from 1 species